rnacentral:rRNA from 1 species
AGCUCCAGUAGCGUAUAUUAAAGUUGUUGCAGUUAAAAAGCUCGUAGUUGGAUUUCUGGUACGCUGCGCCCGGCCCGCCCGCUACAAGCGUGGUGUGUGCUGGAGCGCGGUUGCCAUCCUUCUAGAAAACGUUUCUACCCUUCGCUGGGCUGGAUUCGCAAUCUAGAUCUUUUACUUUGAAAAAAUUAGAGUGUUUAAAGCAGGCAUUUGCCAUGAAUACAUUAGCAUGGAAUAAUAAUAUAGGACUUUGGUUCUAUUUUGUUGGUUUCUAGGACUAAAGUAAUGAUUGAUAGGGAUAGUUGGGGGUGCUCGUAUUUAGCGGCCAGAGGUGAAAUUCUUGGAUUCGCUAAAGACGAACGUAUGCGAAAGCAUUCACCAAGGAUGUCUUCUUUAAUCAAGA